CGACAGGCUUAACACAUGCAAGUCGAGGGGCAGCGGGGUGGAGCAAUACACCGCCGGCGACCGGCGCACGGGUGAGUAACGCGUAUGCAACUUGCCUAUCAGAGGGGGAUAACCCGGCGAAAGUCGGACUAAUACCGCAUGAAGCAGGGGCCCCGCAUGGGGAUAUUUGCUAAAGAUUCAUCGCUGAUAGAUAGGCAUGCGUUCCAUUAGGCAGUUGGCGGGGUAACGGCCCACCAAACCGACGAUGGAUAGGGGUUCUGAGAGGAAGGUCCCCCACAUUGGUACUGAGACACGGACCAAACUCCUACGGGAGGCAGCAGUGAGGAAUAUUGGUCAAUGAGCGCGAGCCUGAACCAGCCAAGUCGCGUGAGGGAUGAAGGUUCUAUGGAUCGUAAACCUCUUUUAUAAGGGAAUAAAGUGCGGGACGUGUCCCGUUUUGUAUGUACCUUAUGAAUAAGGAUCGGCUAACUCCGUGCCAGCAGCCACGGUAAUACGGAGGAUCCGAGCGUUAUCCGGAUUUAUUGGGUUUAAAGGGUGCGUAGGCGGCCUUUUAAGUCAGCGGUGAAAGUCUGUGGCUCAACCAUAGAAUUGCCGUUGAAACUGGGGGGCUUGAGUAUGUUUGAGGCAGGCGGAAUGCGUGGUGUAGCGGUGAAAUGCUUAGAUAUCACGCAGAACCCCGAUUGCGAAGGCAGCCUGCCAAGCCAUGACUGACGCUGAUGCACGAAAGCGUGGGGAUCAAACAGGAUUAGAUACCCUGGUAGUCCACGCAGUAAACGAUGAUCACUAGCUGUUUGCGAUACAGUGUAAGCGGCACAGCGAAAGCGUUAAGUGAUCCACCUGGGGAGUACGCCGGCAACGGUGAAACUCAAAGGAAUUGACGGGGGCCCGCACAAGCGGAGGAACAUGUGGUUUAAUUCGAUGAUACGCGAGGAACCUUACCCGGGUUUGAACGCAUUCGGACCGAGGUGGAAACACCUUUUCUAGCAAUAGCCGUUUGCGAGGUGCUGCAUGGUUGUCGUCAGCUCGUGCCGUGAGGUGUCGGCUUAAGUGCCAUAACGAGCGCAACCCUUGCCACUAGUUACUAACAGGUAAAGCUGAGGACUCUGGUGGGACUGCCAGCGUAAGCUGCGAGGAAGGCGGGGAUGACGUCAAAUCAGCACGGCCCUUACAUCCGGGGCGACACACGUGUUACAAUGGCGUGGACAAAGGGAUGCCACCUGGCGACAGGGAGCGAAUCCCCAAACCACGUCUCAGUUCGGAUCGGAGUCUGCAACCCGACUCCGUGAAGCUGGAUUCGCUAGUAAUCGCGCAUCAGCCAUGGCGCGGUGAAUACGUUCCCGGGCCUUGUACACACCGCCCGUCAAGCCAUGGGAGCCGGGGGUACCUGAAGUCCGUAACCGCGAGGAUCGGCCUAGGGUAAAACUGGUGACUGGGGC
rnacentral:rRNA from 1 species